AUUAAUAGUGCGAAUUGAAAAUACUGAGUGCAAAAUAAAAUAUAUAUAGGUCUGUGUUUAUUGUUUACAUUUCAUCUACUUCCGGACCCGGUGUGUCCUAAAUUUACGAAGAAAUGGUUGAAGACUAGAUCUACAUCUAGACCUAGUUCUAGACAUAGAUCUCUAGAUCUACUGAUCUAGUAGUCUAGGUCUAGAUAUUAGAAUUAGAUUUAUUCUUAGAAUCUACCUCCAAGAAUGAAAUCAGCUCAGCCUUGAGUUGGACGACAUGCUUUAACACUUUUCCCCUGGAGAGCCAACAAACGUUGGUGUGAUACAGGAGACAUUAGUAGUCUGAAUCCAUUGCUUCACAAAGCUCUGAGGAAAGUCAGAAUGCAAGCGGUCGAGAUUUGAGGAAGUUUACAACUUCAAUCACUUGAUCCAGAACAGACAUCAAAUAUUUGAAGGCAAGAGCUUCUCUGUGGAUCAUGCAGUGAACAACUAAUACAUUUGGAUUUUCUUGACGCACAAGAGUGAAGAAUGCCUUUCUAUUUCCCUGCAUGGAAGGACAGCCAUCGGUGCAAACGCUGACACAGUUUGUCUCCACUGUACUUUGAAUAGCAAAAUGUUUUCGUUCACCACUUAAAAAUCUUCGCCUUUGGUCGUAGUUGGGCACAACAUAAUGAGGCAACACUUAUUCUGGAUGUUGAAACUAGUGAAAAGAACACGUGGCCUUGUUUUAUCAUGAGGCCCAUACAAAAUACUGGCCCCCCAACAGUCCUUUAGAAUAAAGAUUGUAUGGAAAGCUGCCUGAUCUGAAAAGAAUGGAGUUCAUCUUCGAUAAAUAUAUAUAUAUCUGAACCCUACUAUUUAUAAUGAGAACACAGAGAAAAAAAAAACGCAAACAGUGGUGAUUUUAUUGUUUACCAUGGAGUUGUCUACUUUUCAAAUUUUACUGACCAAGUUUGUACAGUGACUAAUCCAUCUGCAGUUUCCGAACCAGUAACUGAUAUCUCAACAAAAUAUUGCUAUACUGAUGGUGUCUGUCACCUCAGAGGAUCAACAUGAUUUGUUCAUUGAAAGACACUUGAAGGUGUAAGUUGUAAAAGGUUUUGAAAGACUUGCCAAAGCAAGGCAUUCUUGACAGGGAUAAACAUUGGGAGCAGCUCUAGCUGACUCAGCUCAGAGGAUGACAUCACAGUUAAUUGACAUCUUUCUGUUAACAAUGCAUGGAUUAUCUUAUCUUCUUCAUUCUAGGGGAAUUAUGCAUUGAGUGAAGACAUCUUGCUGUAGAAGAGAAGAAAAAUUCAGAUAUUCCACAUGAUUUACAAUAUGGCUUUGAUUGUCUUAUGUUAAUGGCUGGUAAAGAACUGAAACAUGUAGGCUGGAGAAUCACUUGAUAGAAAUCAAGAUGUUUAGUCACUUUGGGAGCAGUGAUCUUGAGAUUUCGAUGCUAGAUACUCUCAGAUUUGAAAGCCGGUAUCUUGGAUAUUUUCUUAGCUCCUCUAGAUCAAGAUGGCAAAGAACUUUAUAAGGAUAGGUCUCCCAUCCAUCACACAACAUUCAAGCACCAAUGGGUUUCUUUCAAGGAGUUGAAGAUAAGGUAGUUCCCCUUAACAAAGCUGAGAUGAGGAAGUUAAAGCAAAAGGACUGCAAUGUUUGUUUCUAGGACCAGACACAAGAGAAUUCGACAACAUAUGUAUCAGAAGAUCAAAAUCAGAAACUGAAAUCUGCCCAUUUGGAGUGUCACCAGAGAAUGCUGACCAUCUCCUCCAAAACUGCUCUCUUUACCAAGAGGCUGUACAUGACACUGGCCCCAAAACACCCCAAUAGAAAGAAAACUAUAUGGAGAGUUCCCUGAUUUGGAAACUACUGCGAAAAUAAUCUCAUAUACUGGUCCAGUCAUCUGAAUGCUCCAAUAAAAAAAUGAGAAGGAAGAAGAAAGAAGAUUGGAAGCAACAUUGCUAUCAAAAAGCAGAGACGAUACAAACCUCAUUAGAUGAAGAGUUGGUAAAGUCCUUGGUUUUGAGCCAGCAGAGAAACAUAAAAAGGGCCGUACACAUAUAUGUAAAAUACAUGCUAGAUCUAUGAGUGUAGAGAAAGAUAUUCAUUAUGAGCUGCUGGCUAGAUUAUGCCCAAACAGUACAGGAGCGGAAAUUCGUAGUGUUGGCACAGAAGCUGGAAUGUUUGCUAUCAGGGCUCAUAGGAAGAUGGCUACAGAGAAAUAUUUUCUGGAAGCAGUAAAUAAAGUCAUCAAAGCCUACGCCAAAUCUAGUGCAACUCCUUGCUACAUGACAAUGAAAUCAAUAGUAGCUUGAUAGAAAAGGCUACUAGAGAAUCAGUACAGAACUUGUGUUUACUCACUGAUCUGAUUUUAAACUUAAGUGAAUCAUUGUUUGUAUUUAUGAUGUUUUAUUUCAACUUAUUAAAUCAUGGUAUUUUUUCUUAUUAAA